UGGGGAACCUGCCCCAUAGUCUGGGAUACCACUUGGAAACAGGUGCUAAUACCGGAUAAGAAAGCAGAUCGCAUGAUCAGCUUUUAAAAGGCGGCGUAAGCUGUCGCUAUGGGAUGGCCCCGCGGUGCAUUAGUUAGUUGGUAAGGUAAAGGCUUACCAAGGCGAUGAUGCAUAGCCGAGUUGAGAGACUGAUCGGCCACAUUGGGACUGAGACACGGCCCAAACUCCUACGGGAGGCAGCAGCG
rnacentral:rRNA from 1 species